rnacentral:rRNA from 1 species
UGGGGAAUAUUGGACAAUGGGGGAAACCCUGAUCCAGCGACGCCGCGUGAGUGAAGAAGUAUUUCGGUAUGUAAAGCUCUAUCAGCAGGGAAGAAAAUGACGGUACCUGACUAAGAAGCCCCGGCUAACUACGUGCCAGCAGCCGCGGUAAUACGUAGGGGGCAAGCGUUAUCCGGAUUUACUGGGUGUAAAGGGAGCGUAGACGGCACUGCAAGUCUGGAGUGAAAGCCCGGGGCUCAACCCCGGGACUGCUUUGGAAACUGUGGUGCUGGAGUGCAGGAGAGGUAAGUGGAAUUCCUAGUGUAGCGGUGAAAUGCGUAGAUAUUAGGAGGAACACCAGUGGCGAAGGCGGCUUACUGGACUGUAACUGACGUUGAGGCUCGAAAGCGUGGGGAGCAAAC